rnacentral:rRNA from 1 species
CACGGAGUUAGCCGAUGCUUUUUCUUCGGAUACACGCAGUCCGGGACACGUCCCGGGUUUUGUUCUCCGACAAAAGAGGUUUACAACCCAUAGGGCCGUCUUCCCUCACGCGGCUUGGCUGGUUCAGGGUCUCUCCCAUUGACCAAUAUUCCUCACUGCUGCCUCCCGUAGGAGUCUGGUCCGUGUCUCAGUACCAGUGUGGGGGACCUUCCUCUCAGAACCCCUACGCAUCGUCGCCACGGUGGGCCGUUACCCCGCCGUCAAGCUAAUGCGCCGCAUGCCCAUCCUCUUCCGAUGAAUCUUUCCUCGAUCUCGGAUGCCCGAAACCGAUAUACGCGGGAUUAGCCUCCCUUUCGGAAGGUUGUCCCCCUGAAGAGGGCAGGUUGCAUACGUGUUACUCACCCGUGCGCCGGUCGCCGGCAAGGAAAGCAAGCUUCCCUCCCGAUGCCCCUCGACUUGCAUGUGUUAAGCCUGCCGCUAGCGUUCAUCCUGAGCCAGGAUCAAACUCUA